rnacentral:lncRNA from 1 species
GUCAAGCUCGUCUGCAUUCACAGUCUUAUCCACGUUGAGGAACACAUCGAACCUUAUAUACUUGCUAUCGUCAUACUUUAUGUUGUUGAACGUUAGCAUCUCCUCUUGUUCGUUUUUCUCCUGUUGGGUCCUUGACGAAGAUGGCCUAUCGAUGGAAAAUGAAAUGGCUCUGUCCAGCUUUGAGAGUGGGAACACCUUACUGGCUGGCGGAACUGAACUUAGAUUCACCUUCCCUGCAUUGCUCUUCCUUAUUGGCUUAAAAUUACGCCAUGGGGUUGGCAUCGGUGCGUAAUCGAAGCCCAUUUUCUUACUGUCCAAACAGUCACGGACUUUCACACGGAACGGGUUGCGGUUUUCAUCGUAGAAAAAGAACUCCGAGUUCAACCAAUCUUUGUGUGUGAGAUCCCUUCUUUUCCCUCCUAAGGCUUUCCACUCGGACCACAUCCGGUCCACAUUGGCGUGAUGGGAAUAGAAAAGCGGGUCUAAACCGGCCGAGUAAAAAUUACCCAUAUCCUCACCGUGUUUUACAUUAUUCUCAUCAGGCCUACUACCAACCCAAAUGUGGACAGGAGUAUGAGGGAUGUUUUCAAUAGUCCCCAUCCCUGGACUGGGAUCAGUUCCUAGAGGGUAAGGCUGACCAAAGAAGAGCAACGGGCAAGGAGCAUUAGUUAUCAUUUGACGAUACAUUAUAGUUAAGUUAUUAGUCAUCUGCUGUAGUUGAGUUGUUUGAACUUCUGUACCGAAAAAACCAAGAUCAAUUAUGGUUCCAUUACGGUGACUUUGGUUACGUCUUGCGUCGUAAAGGGAAGACCCUUCACGAUCGAACAUGGGAGGUAUACGCAUGCCCUUGGGAUGGUCCCAGUUCCAAUAUGGCAAACCAAAAGUAGGAUCAUUAAUUAAAGAGCCCAAGAUUCUCUCAUAGAAGUACAAGUACCAUCUAUGAAAAGGGAAAAAAAGCCAUGAGAAAUGCACUUGUAGCUCUUUGCCACCAAUUUUGUAAGCACCGUUGCAAUAAGCACAAUGGAUAUUGGCUUGUUGCUUGAAGCCAAGAGGGUCAAAUGGGUCUUUGUCAAGUUCCCUCAUUCGACUAGUGGCUAACUGGUAUUUAGCAAUGUACUCCUCAUCAGCAGCAUGAGCAGCGGGCCGAAUACGGAGUUUGGGCAUAGAAGGAAACUUGUAAUAGGGAACACUGUCCAUAUCACUUGGGAUAGGGGGGCAACAACUGUAUGAAACCUCCUCUUUGUCAUUUAUAUGGGCUUUGCUACAAGAUUUGAGAUCAGGAGGUGGUAUAGGAGCAGCAGUAGCUAAUGGCGCAAGAUUAGCUGCGCCAUACAGCCCUCCUAAACCCAAGAGGACAUUCCUCCUGUCAACAGCGUCAAGGUUUUUGUCAUGCUCGCCACUGUUGGCAUUGCAUGAGAACUUGAAAUUUUGGUUACGUUUUCCAUGAAGGAAUAGCUGAGAGGGUUUUGCAAAGAAAGAUGAGUUGGUGUUGGUGUUGGUGAAGGAAGAAGAGGGAGUUUUAUUGGCGCAUAAAGGUAAAGUAGAAGAAGAAGAAGCCAUUGCUGGGAUGAGUGCUUUUGGUUUGAAGGGUUACAACCUUGAUUUAUACACAAUCAGUAAGUAGCCUGGUAAGGUACAAAGUAUAAACGUGAAGCACGUGGUUGAUUCUUAGUCUUAUCUUGUACUACUAGUAAUAAAAGCUAGCGAGAAAAACCAAACGUAAAUGUGCAUAGAAACAAUAACAAAAGGUUAUCGCGUUUCUGACCCUACAUAUCCAUGAAUUAUUGAAAGGAUUAGAUCUGGUAUAAGCUAAGAAGAAAAAUACUAGUAGAACACUUCUUUAAACGAAACAAUAUAUGUAUAUAACGUGGACGAUAAAGAGCAAUCAACUAGACUUCUUCCCUCCAAAAACUUUGAUCUCUUCAUUGUUUUCCUCUUAAAAGCAUUGGUACGGAAUCCAAUAUUUUUUAUAAGAAACUUUGAUAUUUAGAAUUGUAUAAGUGAAAAAUUAUCAAAAUUUUAUAUUUUAACCCAAUAAUCUUAAGAUUAUAAUGAGUUUAGUGGUAAAAAUAUAAAAAUCCAACUCAUGUUUAAAUCCUGCAUUCACCUUUACUUACCAGAGUCAACCUUACUCAUAUUUGAUCAAUAACUUUUGUAUGCUUAUUUAGUACUAUUAUAUCCUUCCAUUCCAUUUUAUUACUUAGUGUAUAUAUUUUUGGACUAACUGAUUUAACAAAAAAAAAAAAUCGUUAGAACUUAUUGGGCGACAAGUGCGGUUUACAUAUGUUCUGCUAGCUAGUAUCACGGGGGUUCUUUUAUAUAAAUAUUUGAAUCUCUAAAGCUUUUAAUACAUUAACCUAGUAAUUCAAGUAACAAAAAUAAUGGGGGAGAUCCUAGCUAUAGUGACUUUUGAGUUAUUGAAAAGUAGUGGAAAAGGACUACAGCAUGGGGCCACAAAAUGUGCCAAGACAGCACAAAUUGAACCAAUUCAAUAUGUCACCAACCUACAACUAUCAAGCCACAGAGAAGAGAAGAAAACCUACCAGCCUUCACUCAACUAUACACCCAAACAUAAUUUUAAUAAAUUAAUGGGAUAUUUUUUUUUCGGGGAGGGGGGGGGGCGGGGACUUAGGNNNNNNNNNNNNNNNNNNNNNNNNNCUAGUAUGAAUGUAUGAUAUUGAGAGGUUUGGUAGGGGGGGGGGGGACAAGUUUUGGGCUUUGUUUGCUGGUAAAGGGCUGAUGGGUUUGGGAGUCCUUAGUUGGGCUUCACGGGGUAGAAAUGGCCCCCAAAUGGCCACUUUUUUUUUUGGUGGAAUGAAUUUUUUUAUUCAUCACCAGAACAAGUACAAUGGGAAAAUACAAAACAACUCUAGCACCCUGCUAUAUAUAAAACUCCCAUACUUACUCAGCUAAGCACAAGUAAGUCUAUUUGUAUCCUAUUCUGUACAAGUAGUAUUUAUUUCUAUCCCCUAUCUAGCUAUAUACUUUUUCUAUCCAUCUUCUAUCCUUGUCCCGCUUCCGUUUGUUGAUUAUCUCCAUCACAUGAACUUUGCAUUCCUUUUUGAUUUGAUCACAUAACCUGCUUGGUCUAGGCAUUGAAAGGCUUCGUUUCUCCCCUUCCAUAUGUGGUAGUUCAAUGCUGCUAAUACAACAAAGGAGAACUCCCUUCUUAGUUUACUUCCCAUUUUCCCGCCUACUCUUUUCCAUAGAUGUUGUCCUUCAUUGUUUGUGAUUCUUAUCUUUAACCACUGAAGAACUUCAGUGAUACACAAUUUAGAAAAUUGGCACUAAUAGAAUAAGUGUUCAAUUGAUUCUGGGGCAUUUCCACAUAAUAUACAUAAGCCAUCUGAACUGAUCCCUAUGUGAGCUAGCCUAUCCUUUGUGAGCAGCUUCCUUUGCAUAAUCAGCCAGCAAAUGAAGCUAUAUUUUGGAAUAUUUUGCUUAUUCCAAACUCAUCUUCCCCAAUAGCAUUUGUCCAGAUUUCCUUUCAACCAUGAGUACCCUUUCAUGAUUGUAUAUCUACCUGUUUGCGAUUGCCAUCCACCCUGAUUAUAUCCCCAUGCAAGCUUGUCUCCUAUAUGGCAAUUUUUUUUCCAAUAUCAGCUACUAUCUUGUGGUACACUGUAUAGCUACCAAUCAGUGUUCUUUAAGUAUAUAUGAUUGAUCCAUUUGACACACAAAGAAUCAGCCUUUGUCGUUAUAUCCCAAACAUAUUUCCCUAUUGCUGCCUCAUUCCAUGCUAUACAGUCCUUUAUUCCUAUCCCUCCCUAUUGACUUGGCCUACAAACAAGAUCCCAGGCCAUUAAUGGUCUUCUGUUUGUUUUCAUCUUUCCAUCCCAUAGAUAAUUACAACAUAUUGCUGUUAUUUUUUUGAGCAUUGCUUUGAGAAGUAGAAAAAUCGAUGCCCAGUACGUGUGGAGAUGCAUCAACACUGCAUUAAUCAUCUGCACUCUCCCGACAUAAGAUAGGUGCUUUGAACCCCAACUCAUUAUUCUAGUUAUUAUUUUAUCUACUAGUACUUAACAAUCCAUUUUUGGUAGCUUCUUCGAUGAUAUUGAGAUACCUAGGUACUUGAAGGGAAGACUGCCUCUACUAUAGCCAGUUAUUUCACAUAAGCUCUCUAUCUCUUGAGUCUUCAUAUUAACAGCAUAUAUGUUGGACUUUCCUGCAUUAGUUGUUAGCCCUGACGAGUUGGACAAGGUUUGAAGCCCUCUUAUCAUCAACAUAACAGAAUUGAAUUCUCCUUUGCAAAAUAGUAACACACCAUCUGCAAAGCAUAAAUGGUUGAGUUGCAAACUUCUGCACUUAGUAUGGUAGCCAAAACUUUCCUGUUGGGCCACUAACUUCAUAAUUCUUGUGAAGUACUCCAUGCAUAUAACAAACAGUAAAGGGGAGAUGAGGUCCCCUUGUCUCAAGCCUCUCUUCCCUCUUAUGCUCCCAUAUAGCCCUCCAUUAAUAGCCAAAGUAUAUUGAGUAGUUGAUAUACAUUCCAUGAUCCACCUUAUGAAGUUCAUAGGGAAAUUUAGAGCAUGUAAUAUUUCCUCUACAAAUUCCCAUUCUAUGGAAUCAUACACCUUUUUAAGGUCUAUUUUUAUCAAGCAACUCCUAGUCGCUGCUUUCCUAUUAUAUAAUCUGACAAGAUCUUGACAAAUCAAUAUAUUUUGCAGGAUUGUUCGUCCAGCUGCAAACGCACUCUGGUUAUCAGAGAGAAUGCUUGGCAGGAUGACUUUAAGUCACUGCAUAGCAUUUUUGAGAUGAUCUUAUAUAUUGUGUUACAGCAGGCUAUAGGUCUAUAAUCCCCAACUGCUUCUGUAUGGCUACUCUUAAGGAUCACUGUAAUAACUGUGCUAUUGACUGCCUUCAGCAUCUUCUCUGAUCUAAAGAACUCAAGUACUCCCUCCUCAAGAUCUGUUCUUAUAAUGUCCCAACUAUCUUUGAAGAAUUUGCUGCCAUAUCCAUUCAGGACCCGAGGCUUUUUCCCAAUCAAUUUGCCAAAGAGCCUGUUUGAUCUCCUUUUUAGUAAAGUCAUAGCCACUUUUGAUUAUGUUAUUUAAGGCAUAGCCACAUUUUACGAGGUAUUUAAUGUGUAGCCACCGUACUACUGCCUUCUUCUGCCGCACUUGAUAUAUACGAAGUAGUGGCUUCUAAUUAGGACGUUAAAUUUUACCAUUCGGCAGUACAUCUUGUUUAAUUAUACACAAGCAUAACAUCUUAUUUUAUUGAA